UACGGAGGGGGCUAGCGUUGUUCGGAAUUACUGGGCGUAAAGCGCACGUAGGCGGCUUUGUAAGUAAGAGGUGAAAGCCUGGUGCUCAACACCAGAACUGCCUUUUAGACUGCAUCGCUUGAAUCCAGGAGAGGUGAGUGGAAUUCCGAGUGUAGAGGUGAAAUUCGUAGAUAUUCGCAAGAACACCAGUGGCGAAGGCGGCUCACUGGCCCGGUACUGACGCUGAGGUGCGAAAGCGUGGGGAGCAACAGG
rnacentral:rRNA from 1 species